rnacentral:rRNA from 1 species
GUGGGGAAUAUUGGUCAAUGGACGCAAGUCUGAACCAGCCAUGCCGCGUGGAGGAUGAAGGUCCUCUGGACUGUAAACUUCUUUUAUCUGGGACGACACACUCCUAUUCUUAGGGGCCUGACGGUACCAGAUGAAUACGCAACGGCUAACUCCGUGCCAGCAGCCGCGGUAAUACGGAGGGUGCAAGCGUUAUCCGGAUUCACUGGGUUAAAAGGGUGCGUAGGUGGGUAUGUAAGUCAGUGGUGAAAUCCCCGAGCUUAACUUGGGAACUGCCGUUGAUACUAUAUAUCUUGAAUGUCGUAGAGGUAAGCGGAAUAUGUCAUGUAGCGGUGAAAUGCUUAGAGAUGACAUAGAACACCAAUUGCGAAGGCAGCUUGCUAUGCGAUUAUUGACACUGAGGCACGAAAGCGUGGGUAGCAAA